AUACUUACCUGCCAGGGGAGACACCAUGACCAUGCGGGUGGUUUUCUCAGAGACGCUUAUCCACGGCACCCUGGGUGUACUGUCCCUCUGCCAGUUCCCUAAAUGUGAGAAUCUUGACUAUAAUUUGUGGCAGUGGGAGAGCAUUUAUGAUCUCCCA